rnacentral:rRNA from 1 species
UACGGGGGGAGCAAGCGUUGUUCGGAUUCAUUGGGCGUAAAGGGUGCGUAGGUGGCGCCGUAAGUCAGGUGUGAAAUCUCGGGGCUUAACUCCGAAACUGCAUUUGAUACUGCGGUGCUUGAGGACUGGAGAGGAGACUGGAAUUUACGGUGUAGCAGUGAAAUGCGUAGAGAUCGUAAGGAAGACCAGUGGCGAAGGCGGGGUCUCUGGACAGUUCCUGACACUGAGGCACGAAGGCCAGGGGAGCAAACGGG